GACGAACGCUGGCGGCGUGCUUAACACAUGCAAGUCGAACGGAAAGGUCCUGCUUUUGUGGGGUGCUCGAGUGGCGAACGGGUGAGUAACACGUGAGUAACCUGCCCUUGACUUUGGGAUAACCUCAGGAAACUGGGGCUAAUACCGGAUAGGAGCUCCUGCUGCAUGGUGGGGGCUGGAAAGUUUCGGCGGUUGGGGAUGGACUCGCGGCUUAUCAGCUUGUUGGUGGGGUAGUGGCUUACCAAGGCUUUGACGGGUAGCCGGCCUGAGAGGGUGACAGGCCACAUUGGGACUGAGAUACGGCCCAGACUACUACGGGAGGCAGCAGUGGGGAAGAUUGCACAAUGGGCGGAAGCCUGAUGCAGCAACGCCGCGUGCGGGAUGACGUCCUUCGGGUUGUAAACCGCUUUCGCCUGUGACGAAGCGUGAGUGACGGUAAUGGGUAAAUAAGCACCGGCUAACUACGUG
rnacentral:rRNA from 1 species